AACGUAGGAGGCGAGCGUUAUCCGGAGUUACUGGGCGUAAAGCGCAUGUAGGCGGUUGGAUAAGUUGCGUGUGAAAGCUCCUGGCUAAACUAGGAGAGGACAGGCAAGACUGUUCGGCUAGAGGGUGGUAGAGGGGCACAGAAUUCGGGGUGUAGCGGUGAAAUGCGUAGAUAUCUGCAGGAACACCCGUGGCGAAAGCGGCGCGCUGGACCACUACUGACGCUGAGGAACGAAAGCUAGGGGAGCAAACAGG
rnacentral:rRNA from 1 species